rnacentral:rRNA from 1 species
UUGGAGGGCAAGUCUGGUGCCAGCAGCCGCGGUAAUUCCAGCUCCAAUAGCGUAUAUUAAAGUUGUUGCAGUUAAAAAGCUCGUAGUUGAACCUUAGGCCCGUGCGGGUGGUCCGUCCUCAGGGCGAGCACUGCCUCGUCGCGGGUCUCACCUUCUGGCGAGCGCGGAUGCCAUUCGUUUGGUGCCCGCGGGAACCAGGACCUUUACCUUGAAAAAAUUAGAGUGCUCAAAGCGGGCUCAGACGCUUGAAUACAUUAGCAUGGAAUAAUGAAAUAGGACGAUGGUUCUAUUUUGUUGGUUUCCGGGACCGUCGUAAUGAUUAAUAGGGAUAGUUGGG